AGUGAACGCUGGCGGUAGGCCUAACACAUGCAAGUCGAACGGCAGCACAGUAAGAGCUUGCUCUUACGGGUGGCGAGUGGCGGACGGGUGAGGAAUACAUCGGAAUCUACUUUUUCGUGGGUGAUAACGUAGGGAAACUUACGCUAAUACCGCAUACGACCUACGGGUGAAAGCAGGGGAUCUUCGGACCUUGCGCGAUUGAAUGAGCCGAUGUCGGAUUAGCUAGUUGGCGGGGUAAAGGCCCACCAAGGCGACGAUCCGUAGCUGGUCUGAGAGGAUGAUCAGCCACACUGGAACUGAGACACGGUACAGACUCCUACGGGGGGCAGCAGUGGGGAAUAUUGGACAAUGGGCGCAAGCCUGAUCCAGCAAUACCGCGUGGGUGAAGAAGGCCUUCGGGUUGUAAAGCCCUUUUGUUGGGAAAGAAAAGCAGCAGGUUAAUACCCCGCUGUUCUGACGGUACCCAAAGAAUAAGCACCGGCUAACUUCGUG
rnacentral:rRNA from 1 species